rnacentral:rRNA from 1 species
CUCCAGACUCCUACGGGAGGCAGCAGUGAGGAAUAUUGGUCAAUGGGCGGGAGCCUGAACCAGCCAAGCCGCGUGAAGGAAGAAGGCGCCAAGCGUCGUAAACUUCUUUUGUCGGGGAACAAAGGGCGCCACGUGUGGCGUUGUGAGUGUACCCGAAGAAAAAGCAUCGGCUAACUCCGUGCCAGCAGCCGCGGUAAUACGGAGGAUGCGAGCGUUAUCCGGAUUUAUUGGGUUUAAAGGGUGCGUAGGCGGGUCCGGAAGGGCACGGGAAAAAGCCCGGGCCCCACCCCCGGCGAGCCGUUGAAACUGUCGGACUAGAGACGGCGAGAAGUACGCGGAAUGCGCGGUGUAGCGGUGAAAUGCAUAGAUAUUAGGAAGAACACCGGUGGCGAAGGCGACUUUCUGGACUGUAACUGACGUUGAGGCACGAAAGUGUGGGGAGCAAACAGGAUUAGAUACCCGCGUAAAC